UUUCCCUUUGGGGGACAGAGUGACAGGUGGUGCAUGGUUGUCGUCAGCUCGUGUCGUGAGAUGUUGGGUUAAGUCCCGCAACGAGCGCAACCCUUGAUCUUAGUUGCCAGCAUUCAGUUGGGCACUCUAAGGUGACUGCCGGUGACAAACCGGAGGAAGGUGGGGAUGACGUCAAAUCAUCAUGCCCCUUAUGACCUGGGCUACACACGUGCUACAAUGGAUGGAACAAAGGGCUGCAAGACCGCGAGGUCAAGCCAAUCCCAUAAAUCCAUUCUCAGUUCGGAU
rnacentral:rRNA from 1 species